GAUGAACGCUGGCGGCGUGCCUAAUACAUGCAAGUCGAGCGAAUGGAUUAAGAGCUUGCUCUUAUGAAGUUAGCGGCGGACGGGUGAGUAACACGUGGGUAACCUGCCCAUAAGACUGGGAUAACUCCGGGAAACCGGGGCUAAUACCGGAUAACAUUUUGAGCCGCAUGGUUCGAAAUUGAAAGGCGGCUUCGGCUGUCACUUAUGGAUGGACCCGCGUGGCAUUAGCUAGUUGGUGAGGUAACGGCUCACCAGGGCAACGAUGAGUAGCCGACUUGGGAGGGUGAUCGGCCAGACUGGGACUGAGACACGGCCCAGACUCCUACGGGAGGUAGCAGUAGGGAAUCUUCCGCAAUGGACGAAAGUCUGACGGAGCAACGCCGCGUGAUGGAUGAAGGCUUUCGGGUCGUAAAACUCUGUUGUUAGGGAAGAACAAGUGCUAGUUGAAUAAGCUGGCACCUUGACGGUACCUAACCAGAAAGCCACGGCUAACUACGUGCCAGCAGCCGCCGUAA
rnacentral:rRNA from 1 species